AUUGAACGCUGGCGGCAUGCCUUACACAUGCAAGUCGAACGGUAACGGGCCUUCGGGUGCCGACGAGUGGCGAACGGGUGAGUAAUGUAUCGGAACGUACCUUUCAGUGGGGGAUAACGUAGCGAAAGUUACGCUAAUACCGCAUAUUCUGUGAGCAGGAAAGCAGGGGAUCGCAAGACCUUGCGCUGAUUGAGCGGCCGAUAUCAGAUUAGCUAGUUGGUGAGGUAAAGGCUCACCAAGGCGACGAUCUGUAGCGGGUCUGAGAGGAUGAUCCGCCACACUGGAACUGAGACACGGUCCAGACUCCUACGGGAGGCAGCAGUGGGGAAUUUUGGACAAUGGGGGCAACCCUGAUCCAGCCAUGCCGCGUGAGGGAUGAGGGCCUUCGGGUUGUAAACCUCUUUCGCUGGGUUGAAGGCCAUGCUUUGGGUGUGGUUGAUUUGAACUGGUAAAGAAGUACCGGCUAACUACGUGCCAGCAGCCGCGGUAAA
rnacentral:rRNA from 1 species